UUUAAUUUAAUCAUAUGUAGGAUAUUCCAGGGAUAUCUCAAGGAUUUAUUUUUGGAUGUUCUACGGAUAUCUGAAAAGCGGACAUUCGGAUAUCCCACGGAUGCCCUACGAAUAUCUUACGGAUAUCCUACGGCUUUGUACAAACAUCCCAGGGAUAUCUGAAAAUCCUUUUCAUUACAUCCCACGGACAUCCGUAGGAUGAAAUUUUGCUAUGUGGGUGAUUAGGAAGCAGGCUGAUUAAACAACGAUUUGCCUAGUGACAUUCCGAUUUAUAAUUACGUGCUUAAGGACAAUCCAAUAAUGGUUACAGGUUAUUACAGGUUAUCGGGUUGUAUUGUUAUAUAUAUGAAAAAAAGAUGUUUUUUUCAUAUAUUUCUGCCACUUGUUCCUAGCUUUGUUGAUUGACUUCACGACUUUUUGUCUGAGGAAGGAACCAAGAUUGCUUCAGCUUUACAAAAAGAUACAUACAUUCAUAGAUGUAAUGAGCUAUUUCUACCAGCAAGAAUGGACAUUUACUAAUGAUCAAGUACGCGUGAUGAUUGCAAAGUUCACGUUCAAUGAUCGUAAAAACUUUGAUUGCGAUAUAAAGAAUCUCAAUUGGAAAGUUUACUUCAAGAUGUACACGCGCGGACUGAAAGUCAUUAAGGAUCCCCUGGACACUCUACCGCAAGCACGCGCCAAAUGGCAAAGGUCAAAAAAAUGACAUCAUUAUUACGUCUUAAUUUGGUAACAUGACACGUCCGCGACUUCAAAUGACGAACUAUUGACGUCAAAUAGACGACACCUUGCUACCUGGCCAAUUUCUUUAUGCAUAUAUUUAUGUAACUAUGCAAGUUUGUCUGGAUAGGCCCUUACCAUCUGGUACAUAUUCAAAUAAUUUUUAUGCGAAAACAUGCGCAAACGUAUAAUGAUAAAAGGACCAAUUAGAUUGAUUCCCUCCAUUAUGCGCAAAAGCGUAAAGGAGACAAGCAGAAGCAGGUUUACUGGUAAAGUUGGUUAUUGACACCGAUGUGAAGACGUGGUGUAUCAAAUAAAAUAUAUAUUAAUGACGUAAAAGUGAUUUUAUUUCUAA